rnacentral:rRNA from 1 species
AUACGGAGGAUCCAAGCGUUAUCCGGAUUUAUUGGGUUUAAAGGGUGCGCAGGCGGCCUUAUAAGUCAGUGGUGAAAUCUCCCGGCUCAACCGGGAAACUGCCAUUGAUACUGUAGGGCUAGAAUACAGACGAAGUAGGCGGAAUGUAGCAUGUAGCGGUGAAAUGCUUAGAUAUGCUACAGAACACCGAUCGCGAAGGCAGCUUACCAGACUGUAAUUGACGCUAAGGCACGAAAGCGUGGGGAGCGAACAGGAUUAGAAACCCUAGUAGUCC